AUUGAACGCUGGCGGCAGGCUUAACACAUGCAAGUCGAGCGGGGGAGGUUGCUUCGGUAACUGACCUAGCGGCGGACGGGUGAGUAAUACUUAGGAAUCUGCCUAUUAAUGGGGGACAACAUCUCGAAAGGGAUGCUAAUACCGCAUACGCCCUACGGGGGAAAGCAGGGGAUCACUUGUGACCUUGCGUUAAUAGUGGAGGCGAAGUCGGAUUAGCUAGUUGGUGGGGUCAAGGCCUACCAAGGCGACGAUCUGUAGCGGGUCUGAGAGGAGGAGCCGCCACACUGGGACUGAGACACGGCCCAGACUCCUACAGGAGGCAGCAGUGGGGAAUAUUGGACAAUGGGGGGAACCCUGAUCCAGCCAUGCCGCGUGUGUGAAGAAGGCCUUAUGGUUGUAAAGCACUUUAAGCGAGGAGGAGGCUCUUUUGGUUAAUACCCAAGAUGAGUGGACGUUACUCGCAGAAUAAGCACCGGCUAACUCUGUGCCAGCCGCCGCGGUAAGAC
rnacentral:rRNA from 1 species